GCCAAGCUGAGAAGUUUUGGGCAAGUCUGGACUCCCGCGCACGCGCACACAGGCCCGCACCCCGAGAAGAUGAUCAGGGCCCUGCCGCAGUGUGCCGGGGCGAGCAAGACCUACCUGCAGCAUCCUGUGUUCCAGGGUGGCGAGCUCCAGGUCUCUUUGAUAGAACCUGAAUGAGAAUCAGAUGACCAGUCUUUUGAUAAUGUCAAAGUUCUCGAACUUCCGUUGUGUCCAUGUUGACAAGGUCCCACAGACUCCCAAAGGCUCUCUGUGAAUUGGACGGCAGCUCUGCGCCUGCCCUCUCCUCCCCGUGCUCCCGCGGG